rnacentral:rRNA from 1 species
GAUGAACGCUAGCGGCAGGCCUAAUACAUGCAAGUCGAGGGGUAGAGAGAGCUUGCUCUCUUGAGACCGGCGCACGGGUGCGUAACGCGUAUGCAACCUACCUUCAUCUGGGGGAUAGCCCGAAGAAAUUCGGAUUAACACCGCAUAAAAUCACAGAACGGCAUCGUUCAAUGACCAAACAUUCAUAGGAUAGAGAUGGGCAUGCGUGCCAUUAGUUAGUUGGCGGGGUAACGGCCCACCAAGACCGCGAUGGCUAGGGGAUCUGAGAGGAUGGCCCCCCACACUGGUACAGGGACACGGACCAGACUCCUACGGGAGGCAGCAGUAAGGAAUAUUGGUCAAUGGAGGCAACUCUGAACCAGCCAUGCCGCGUGCAGGAAGACAGCCCUCUGGGUCGUAAACUGCUUUUAUUCGGGAAUAAACCUGCUUACGUGUAAGUAGCUGAAUGUACCGAAGGAAUAAGGAUCGGCUAACUCCGUGCCAGCCGCCGCGGUAAAAC